GUUAUAAACAUAUGGUGGAAUGGUGUUACACAUUGGCUGAUCAAGACCUUAAUUGUUUCAACAAGUGGGCGAAAGUAUAUAUGUGUGCAUGUUUAAACACCAAACCAUGUAGUUGUUAGUUAUGCAGAAAUAUUUGUUGAACCAUUAUUGUGUACUUGCUACUCUACUGUGAUAGAAGCAGAAGAACCAAUAUUCUACAGAAAAGAUGUGGCCCCUUUCUGCCACCAAGGAAAUGCCAGUCUUUUAGAAGAUAGGAAAUAAACAUACAUACAUGAACAGUCUGCAAAAUAUGUAUUGUCUUUAUCUGCCCUUCUCAUAUUUCUUCAGGCUAGAAAACCAUUUUCCUUUUUUGUGGCACCUGUGACACCCACAUGAUUUCCUCAAAUGCAAGGACAACAAAGAGGGAAACCUUGUCUAAUCAUUAAGGAGGAGUAAAGGAAAUUAAAAAGCAAUGGGGAGUUCUGUUGUGGCACAGUGGAAACAACCCGACUGGUAUCCAUGAGGAUUCGGGUUCAGUCUCAGGCCUCGCUCAGUGAGCUAAGGAUCCAGCAUUGCCAUGAGCUGUGGUGUAGGUUGCAGACACAGCUUAGAUCCGAGUUGCUAUUGCUGUGGCUCAGGCUGACAGCUGCAGCUCUGAUUCAAUCCCUAGCCUGGGAACUUCCAUAUACCACAGUGUGGCCCUUUAAAAAAAAAAAAAAGGCAAUUGAUUAAGAGGUAGAUCCUAUCAAGGGUGUCAGUGUUGUGUUAAAAUUUAUACAGAAAAAAAAAAAAAACACUGUCCUGAAAAAUACCUCAUAAUCAAACAUAUAACUACAACUUUAGAAUCUUUAAAUAUUUGAGCAAACGUUAGCCAAAAUUUAGGAGCCACUGUUCAAAAAAGCAAGUCCUCUUCUCAUAAAGGAUAUGAGGGUGUCAAAAAUAAAAUUUUGGGAGUUCCUGCUGUGGCACAGUGGGUCAAUGAUCUGGCUCAUCUGUAUGGCAUUGCCAGUGUGAUCCCUGGCCUGGUGUAGUGGGUUAAGGAAUCAGCGUUGCCACAGCUGUGGCAUAGGUUGCAAAUGCAGCUCUGAUUGGAUCCGUAGCCCGGGAACUUCCAUAUGCUGCAGGUGCAGCUGAAAAAGAAGGGGAAGGAGGAAGGGAGGGAGGGAGGGAAGGAAGUUCUGGAGUUCCAGUCAUGGCUCAGCAGUAAUGAUUCCGAAUAGUAUCCAUGAAGAAGGACACAGGUUCGAUCCCUGGCCUCGCUCAGUGGGUUAAGGGUCCAGCAUUGCAUGAACUGUGGUGUAGGUCACAGACGUGGCUCAGAUUUGGCAGGAUGUGGCUGUGGCAUAGGCUGGCUAGGGGUCUAAUUGGAGCUACAGCUGCCGGCCUACACCAGAGCCACAGCAAUGCAGGAUCCAAGCCAUGUCUGCAACCUAUACCAUAGCUCACGACAAUACCAGAUCCUUAACGCAGUGAGAGAGGCCAGGGAUCCAACCCACAACCUCAUGGUUCCUAGUCAGAUUCAUUUCCGCUGCACAAUGACAGGAACUCCCCAAUAAAGAACUCUAAUCGAAAGGAGAUUUGUCCCAGAUAUUGGCCUACUGUUUACACAGAAACCAAAUGACCAAAAAGUUCACUGAGUUAGGAUUUGUUCACACUCCUUUUUAAUGAGAGAAAACAGGCCCCUCAAAGGGCACAAUCCCACAGACUCACCAAGCUCUCACAAAGAAGCCCAAGAGUCCACACCCCAGAAAUAAGAACAAACCAGUAUUGAACCAAGUCUUAAAAACCACCUCCUGUCCCCAGCCCAGCCUGAUCCUUGAUUGGCUUGGAUCUCCCCCACUCCCCAUUCACUUAUCAGAGGAAAAGAGAACUUAUGUCUUAUGAGAGAUGCCGUCUAGAGUCUUCUCCUUCAAGUUACCCUGGAAUUGAUUAGUUUCAAUGUGCAGAACCAUUCAUUCACUCUGAUCUCAGGAUUCCAGGCCCACCACCAAGGCUGGCUGACUCUGGGCAAGUUGCUUAACUCUGCUCAUCCUUGGCUACCUGAUCUAAUUAAUGAGGAUGAUGGCAGAGCUCACUCACUGGUUGAUGUACCGUGAAAAUCAAGGGAGAUGAAAACAGCAGAGCUUAGUCUUAGCUUAGAGGUUAAGACCAUGGCCUCUAGAGAAUCCCGGCUGUCACUUACUGAGCAAUUUAGGGCAAGUUAACCUCUCUGUGUGUCUCUUAUUUUAUCUGUAAAAUGGAACUAAUAAUAGUGUCUACCUCAUAGGGUUGUUAUAAAUUAAAAGAGUUAAAAUUUAUAAAGCACCCAGAGUCGUUUCUGGCGGGAACUGUAUGCUGUAUACAGAUUGGUUAAAUAAACCCUAGUACUUGGCUCCUAAGGAAUGCUUCCGAAGUGCUCAUUGCUAUUGUCCUUAUAAUUUCAUGUCAGUGAUGGUCAUGACCACCACGGCCGCAACCACCAUGGCCGUGACCACCACCACCGUCAAUCUCUUAUCACCUUCCUCAACCCUACUCCAUUUGACCCUCUGUCUCUUUCCAUUCUUGAAAUUCCCUAUUCCCUUGACUCCUAGGAUCCCACUUGUGCUAGUUCUCCAGGCUGUUUCCUGCUCAUUUCUCCUCCUCCUUCUUUUUCAUGAACUUCCAUUUUUGGAGCACGUCUUACAUGCUAUGGUCUCCCAGGGUCCUAUCCUCAGCCUACUGUUCUUCUCAUUUGUGAGUGAUAUCAUCCAGUUUUGUUAUUCAAAUUACCCCCCAUAUGCUGAUGACAGCUCCUCAUUCCAGAUGUCAAAGCCAUUUCAGUAGUCCAGGCCCCUGAAAGUUCCAGAUGUGCCUACUUGGCUGCCUGCCGUGUCUCCAUCUGGUGGUCCCAGAUCACUCAGAAGGAAAUUCGUCAUCUUCCCUCUAAAUCGGCUCCUCCUCCUCCAUUUUAUAUAUCAUUUGUGAUGAUGUUGAUAUCCUGUCACUCAAGCUAGAAGAAUAAAUAUUGAUCUGGAUUCCAUAUUUGUACUUGAGCCUCACAUCCAAACCAUCACUUGUUCUGCCAAUUUUACCGGCUAGUAUUUCCCAGAUUGGUAUGUUCUUUCUCUUUGCAUUCCCACUGCCUUAAUUCUGCCUCCACCACCUCUCACUUUGACCUCUUAUGUAGUCUCCUUCUUGGCCUACCUUCUUCAAGCUCAUCUUCCAUCUAACUAUCCCAUUAAUGUUUCCAAAACACAAAAAUACUGCUGUUAUUCCCUGGAUUGAAGCCCCUCUGAGGCUCUCUCUUUUACAGGCCAAUGAUGACUCCCUAUUAUAGAAGUCAUAUUAUCUAUGCAGCCUCGUCUCCAGUCAUUGCAUCCUCAGACUUUUUUCACUGGAUCAAUGAGACUGGUCUUUAUCCAGAGCCACCAGAGUACACUCACUAUACUGGUAUCCACUGGUAUAACCAAUGUCUACUGGUCAUGCAAUAAUACUUGGCUCAGUCAUGACCCCUCCCAGAAGCUUCUCUCAUCCCCAUCACUCCUCUCUCUUUUGACAUACCAGUUGGAUUCUA
rnacentral:lncRNA from 1 species